rnacentral:tRNA from 1 species
AUGUAUCGGGAAUGGUCGGGAUAGCUCAGCUGGUAGAGCAGAGGACUGAAA